rnacentral:rRNA from 1 species
GAGGGGAGUGAAAAAGAACCUGAAACCGUGUACGUACAAGCAGUGGGAGCCUCUUUUAUGGGGUGACUGCGUACCUUUUGUAUAAUGGGUCAGCGACUUAUAUUCUGUAGCAAGGUUAACCGAAUAGGGGAGCCGAAGGGAAACCGAGUCUUAACUGGGCGUUAAGUUGCAGGGUAUAGACCCGAAACCCGGUGAUCUAGCCAUGGGCAGGUUGAAGGUUGGGUAACACUAACUGGAGGACCGAACCGACUAAUGUUGAAAAAUUAGCGGAUGACUUGUGGCUGGGGGUGAAAGGCCAAUCAAACCGGGAGAUAGCUGGUUCUCCCCGAAAGCUAUUUAGGUAGCGCCUCGUGAAUUCAUCUCCGGGGGUAGAGCACUGUUUCGGCAAGGGGGUCAUCCCGACUUACCAACCCGAUGCAAACUGCGAAUACCGGAGAAUGUUAUCACGGGAGACACACGGCGGGUGCUAACGUCCGUCGUGAAGAGGGAAACAACCCAGACCGCCAGCUAAGGUCCCAAAGUCAUGGUUAAGUGGGAAACGAUGUGGGAAGGCCCAGACAGCCAGGAUGUUGGCUUAGAAGCAGCCAUCAUUUAAAGAAAGCGUAAUAGCUCACUGGUCGAGUCGGCCUGCGCGGAAGAUGUAACGGGGCUAAACCAUGCACCGAAGCUGCGGCAGCGACGCUUAUGCGUUGUUGGGUAGGGGAGCGUUCUGUAAGCCUGUGAAGGUGUGCUGUGAGGCAUGCUGGAGGUAUCAGAAGUGCGAAUGCUGACAUAAGUAACGAUAAAGCGGGUGAAAAGCCCGCUCGCCGGAAGACCAAGGGUUCCUGUCCAACGUUAAUCGGGGCAGGGUGAGUCGACCCCUAAGGCGAGGCCGAAAGGCGUAGUCGAUGGGAAACAGGUUAAUAUUCCUGUACUUGGUGUUACUGCGAAGGGG